AUGUCGGUUAUCAUCACUUGGUUGCCUGUGACUACAUGAUAGAAUCCCGAAAAGGAGGAUAAGCAAGCUGCGCGUUUCCACGUCAGACUUGUGUAACCGUUAUCAUUUGGCUCUUCGCAGGUUGUUUUGAACUUGAGACGUCAUGAGCAAAGCAUUUUUAACGUUACAAUUGCAUUCGGCGCAAUAGCACAGAAAGUGGUAACCCAUAGCGCAGCUCCACUGGUUCCAAAUUUGAUGGACACAGCCAUGAGUUACCUGGCAGUAUUGUGGCAGAGGGUAUCUUGUGCCACAGAAGUACAUACGAACAGUCCAGCAGAAAUACAGCAGCAGCCCAAUCCCAGUCUAUAACUCUGCAGAGGCUCAGAGAGAUAGCAGCAAACCAGGUCCUUCCCACAACUCUCCGCAAGCUCGGGAUUCGUCGCAAACCCAGCCAGCCAGCCAGCCAUGUACGAACCUAUAUUUGCCAACAUUGUAGAUUGUCGACUAGGUAUUUCCAGUGCUUUUGUGACCACGUUGUUCAGUGUGUUGGGUGUGGCUUUCUCCCUUC